rnacentral:rRNA from 1 species
UACGUAGGGGGCUAGCGUUGUCCGGAAUCAUUGGGCGUAAAGCGCGUGUAGGCGGUCCGGUAAGUCCGCUGUGAAAGUCGAGGGCUCAACCCUCGAAUGCCGGUGGAUACUGUCGGGCUUGAGUACGGGAGAGGCGAGUGGAAUUCCUGGUGUAGCGGCGAAAUGCGCAGAUAUCAGGAGGAACACCGAUUGCGAAGGCAGCUCGCUGGAACGUUACUGACGCUGAGACGCGAAAGCGUGGGGAGCAAACAGG